AGGGAAGCUCAGUCAGUCUGUUAUCAGGUCUGUGUCUCUCCUCCUCCUCAGGGAAGCUCAGUCAGUCUGUUAUCAGGUCUCUGUCUCUCCUCCUCAGGGAAGCUCAGUCAGUCUGUUAUCAGGUCUCUGUCUCUCCUCCUCAGGGAAGCUCAGUCAGUCUGUUAUCAGGUCUGUGUCUCUCCUCCUCCUCAGGGAAGCUCAGUCAGUCUGUUAUCAGGUCUCUGUCUCUCCUCCUCAGGGAAGCUCAGUCAGUCUGUUAUCAGGUCUCUGUCUCUCCUCCUCAGGGAAGCUCAGUCAGUCUGUUAUCAGGUCUCUGUCUCUUCUCCUCAGGGAAGCUCAGUCAGUCUGUUAUCAGGUCUCUGUCUCUCCUCCUCAGGGAAGCUCAGUCAGUCUGUUAUCAGGUCUCUGUCUCUCCUCCUCAGGGAAGCUCAGUCAGUCUGUUAUCAGGUCUCUGUCUCUCCUCCUCAGGGAAGCUCAGUCAGUCUGUUAUCAGGUCUCUCUCUCCUCCUCAGGGAAGCUCAGUAUGUUAUCAGGUCUCUCUCUCCUCCUCAGGGAAGCUCAGUCUGUUAUCAGGUCUCUCUCUCCUCCUCAGGGAAGCUCAGUCUGUUAUCAGGUCUCCGUCUCUCCUCCUCAGGGAAGCUCAGUCUGUUAUCAGGUCUCUCUCUCCUCCUCAGGGAAGCUCAGUCUGUUAUCAGGUCUCUCUCUCCUCCUCAGGGAAGCUCAGUCUGUCUGUUAUCAGGUCUCUGUCUCUUCUCCUCAGGGAAGCUCAGUAUGUUAUCAGGUCUCUCUCUCCUCCUCAGGGAAGCUCAGUCUGUUAUCAGGUCUCUCUCUCCUCCUCAGGGAAGCUCAGUAUGUUAUCAGGUCUCUCUCUCCUCCUCAGGGAAGCUCAGUCUGUUAUCAGGUCUCUGUCUCUUCUCCUCAGGGAAGCUCAGUAUGUUAUCAGGUCUCUCUCUCCUCCUCAGGGAAGCUCAGUCAGUCUGUUAUCAGGUCUCUGUCUCUCCUCCUCAGGGAAGCUCAGUCUGUUAUCAGGUCUGUGUCUCUCCUCCUCCUCAGGGAAGCUCAGUCAGUCUGUUAUCAGGUCUCUGUCUCUCCUCCUCAGGGAAGCUCAGU